GUUUGAUCCUGGCUCAGAACGAACGCUGGCGGCAGGCCUAACACAUGCAAGUCGAGCGCACCUUCGGGUGAGCGGCGGACGGGUGAGUAACGCGUGGGAAUAUGCCCUUUGGUACGGAAUAGUCCUGGGAAACUGGGGGUAAUACCGUAUGCGCCCUUCGGGGGAAAGAUUUAUCGCCAAAGGAUUAGCCCGCGUUGGAUUAGGUAGUUGGUGGGGUAAUGGCCUACCAAGCCGACGAUCCAUAGCUGGUUUGAGAGGAUGAUCAGCCACACUGGGACUGAGACACGGCCCAGACUCCUACGGGAGGCAGCAGUGGGGAAUCUUAGACAAUGGGGGCAACCCUGAUCUAGCCAUGCCGCGUGAGUGAUGAAGGCCCUAGGGUUGUAAAGCUCUUUCAGCUGGGAAGAUAAUGACGGUACCAGCAGAAGAAGCCCCGGCUAACUCCGUGCCAGCAGCCGCGGUAAUACGGAGGGGGCUAGCGUUGUUCGGAAUUACUGGGCGUAAAGCGCACGUAGGCGGACCGGAAAGUUGGGGGUGAAAUCCCGGGGCUCAACCCCGGAACUGCCUUCAAAACUAUCGGUCUGGAGUUCGAGAGAGGUGAGUGGAAUUCCGAGUGUAGAGGUGAAAUUCGUAGAUAUUCGGAGGAACACCAGUGGCGAAGGCGGCUCACUGGCUCGAUACUGACGCUGAGGUG
rnacentral:rRNA from 1 species